AACGAACGCUGGCGGCAUGCCUAACACAUGCAAGUCGAACGAAGGCUUCGGCCUUAGUGGCGCACGGGUGCGUAACGCGUGGGAAUCUGCACCUCGGUUCGGAAUAACAGUUAGAAAUGACUGCUAAUACCGGAUGAUGACUUCGGUCCAAAGAUUUAUCGCCGAGGGAUGAGCCCGCGUAAGAUUAGGUAGUGGGUGGGGUAAAGGACUACCAAGCCGACGAUCUUUAGCUGGUCUGAGAGGAUGAUCAGCCACACUGGGACUGAGACACGGCCCAGACUCCUACGGGAGGCAGCAGUGGGGAAUAUUGGACAAUGGGCGAAAGCCUGAUCCAGCAAUGCCGCGUGAGUGAUGAAGGCCUUAGGGUUGUAAAGCUCUUUUACCAGGGAUGAUAAUGACAGUACCUGGAGAAUAAGCUCCGGCUAACUCCGUGCCAGCAGCCGCCGUAA
rnacentral:rRNA from 1 species